ensembl:lncRNA
UUUGGUUCGCCAAGCAGUCGAACAGGAUGGCUGACCAGAGCAGGCAAAUUAAACUCGCUGCGGCUAAGAAAAAGCUGAAGGAGUUUCAGCAGAAGAGCUCCCCUCUAAGUGGAGGAGGAGAAGAAACGGGAGGUGGUGGAGUAGGAGCCAAAAAGAAGAGAAAAGUCAAGGGAGGGAACCAAACCGACGCCCCUUCGUCGGACAGGAGUCCUCCGUACAACGCCUAUGCAGAGGCUGAAACCAGAGUGUCUCCAGUACCCCACCUACUGGAGGACCCAAAGGGGGAGGCUGGUCAUGGCGUGCCUGUUUCUAACACCUCUAGCACCAUUUCUACUAACUCUGAAUCGGUCAGGCACAAUGAACUGCAGGUGUGUGUGUACUUUGUCUGUGGCUUAAUCACUGUGUCUGAUCACUAUUGUUGGCACUUCUGCCAUUGUCCACGGCUUUGUGUAUUAAGGGAUCAGAUCGGCCAUAACUAUUUAUAUGAUCUGUUAUCCUUCGUUAUGCAUUUGGGAUGCAAUGGAUUUGCCAGUUCGUUACCUAGCUCCUCCAUAUGAUCAAAGUUGAAUGAGUCAUUGUGUGCAUUAAUUGUAUACAGUGGCUAAUUAUGCUUGUUGUCAUUUGAAGACCCGUUUUCUCUGGUGCACAUUGGUGUUGUCAAUCCUUUGCAUUGGAUUUUCUGUUAAACCGCUGCUAAUGUCGUCCACUACAGAGCUAUCCUGAUACCAAUGGCAACGGGGUGGAUAAAAGGUGGGUAAAAUCUUCACACUGCCUUCAAGCAUUCAGGUGGUCUUCACCAUACUCCUGCAGAAAAACACAAACACUUUCUGUGUUUAUGUUAAUGCAUACAUUUAUAAAUAAUGUGUUUGCAAGAUUCAUUUGACUUCAGACCUAAGAUGUGUAUUGCCUGUGAUAACAAACACAACAAGGUCUGGAAAUAUUUCACAUCACAAAAGUAUUCACAGCUGUGUGGUUUGUUUGAUGUGAAGUCCAUUGUGUACAACCCCGAC